GAUGAACGCUGGCGGCGUGCCUAAUACAUGCAAGUCGAGCGAACGGACGAGAAGCUUGCUUUUCUGAUGUUAGCGGCGGACGGGUGAGUAACACGUGGAUAACCUACCUAUAAGACUGGGAUAACUUCGGGAAACCGGAGCUAAUAUCGGAUAAUAUUUUGAACCGCAUGGUUCAAAAGUGAAAGACGGUCUUGCUGUCACUUAUAGAUGGAUCCGCGCUGCAUUAGCUAGUUGGUAAGGUAACGGCUUACCAAGGCAACGAUGCAUAGCCGACCUGAGAGGGUGAUCGGCCACACUGGAACUGAGACACGGUACAGACUCCUACGGGAGGCAGCAGUAGGGAAUCUUCCGCAAUGGGCGAAAGCCUAACGGAGCAACGCCGCGUGAGUGAUGAAGGUCUUCGGAUCGUAAAACUCUGUUAUUAGGGAAGAACAUAUGUGUAAGUAACUGUGCACAUCUUGACGGUACCUAAUCAGAAAGCCACGGCUAACUACGUG
rnacentral:rRNA from 1 species